UACGGGGGGGGGCAAGCGUUGUUCGGAAUUACUGGGCGUAAAGGGCUCGUAGGCGGCCAACUAAGUCAUACGUGAAAUCCCCCGGCUUAACCGGGGAACUGCGUCUGAUACUGGAUGGCUUGAGUUCGGGAGAGGGAUGCGGAAUUCCAGGUGUAGCGGUGAAAUGCGUAGAUAUCUGGAGGAACACCGGUGGCGAAGGCGGCAUCCUGGACCAAUACUGACACUGAGGAGCGAAAGCCAGGGGAGCAAACGGG
rnacentral:rRNA from 1 species